rnacentral:rRNA from 1 species
GAUGAACGCUAGCUACACGUUUAACACAUGCAAGUCGAGGGGCAGCAUGUCGGUUGCUUGCAACCGAUGAUGGCGACCGGCGCACGGGUGAGUAACGCGUAUCCAACCUACCCUUGUCCAUCGGAUAACCCGUCGAAAGGCGGCCUAACACGAUAUGCGGUUCUCAGCAGGCAUCUAACGAGAACGAAAUGUGAAGGAGAAGGAUGGGGAUGCGUCUGAUUAGCUUGUUGGCGGGGUAACGGCCCACCAAGGCUACGAUCAGUAGGGGUUCUGAGAGGAAGGUCCCCCACAUUGGAACUGAGACACGGUCCAAACUCCUACGGGAGGCAGCAGUGAGGAAUAUUGGUCAAUGGACGGGAGUCUGAACCAGCCAAGUAGCGUGCAGGACGACGGCCCUAUGGGUUGUAAACUGCUUUUAUAGGGGGAUAAAGUGUGCCACGUGUGGCAUAUUGCAGGUACCCUAUGAAUAAGGACCGGCUAAUUCCGUGCCAGCAGCCGCGGUAAUACGGAAGGUCCGGGCGUUAUCCGGAUUUAUUGGGUUUAAAGGGAGCGUAGGCCGUCUUAUAAGCGUGUUGUGAAAUGUCGGGGCUCAACCUGGGCAUUGCAGCGCGAACUGUGAGACUUGAGUGCGCAGGAAGUAGGCGGAAUUCGUCGUGUAGCGGUGAAAUGCUUAGAUAUGACGAAGAACUCCGAUUGCGAAGGCAGCCUGCUGUAGCGCAACUGACGCUGAAGCUCGAAAGCGUGGGUAUCGAACAGG